rnacentral:rRNA from 1 species
UACGAAGGGAGCUAGCGUUGUUCGGAAUCACUGGGCGUAAAGCGCACGUAGGCGGAUUUGUCAGUCAGGGGUGAAAUCCCGGGGCUCAACCUCGGAACUGCCUUUGAUACAGCAAGUCUUGAGUUCGAGAGAGGUGGGUGGAACUGCGAGUGUAGAGGUGAAAUUCGUAGAUAUUCGCAAGAACACCAGUGGCGAAGGCGGCUCACUGGCCCGGUACUGACGCUGAGGUGCGAAAGCGUGGGGAGCAAACAGG